AAUAUUGGACAAUGGGCGAAAGCCUGAUCCAGCCAUGCCGCGUGUGUGAAGAAGGUCUGCGGAGUGUAAUGCCCUUUAAGUUGGGAGGAAGUGCAGUAAGUUAAUACCUUGCUGUUUUGACGUUACCGACAGAAUAAGCACCGGCUAACUUCGUGCCAGCAGCCGCGGUAAUACGAAGGGUUCAAGCGUUAUUCGGAAUUACUGGGCGUAAAGCACGCCUAGGUGGGUCGUUAAGUUGGAAGUGAAAGCCCCGGGCUUAACCUGGGAAUUGAUUUCAAAACUGACGAGCUAGAGUACGGUAGAGGGUAGUGGAAUUUCCUGUGUAGCGGUGAAAUGCGUAGAUAUAGGAAGGAACAUCAGUGGCGAAGGCGACUACCUGGACUGAUACUGACACUGAGGUGCGAAAGCGUGGGGAGCAAACAGG
rnacentral:rRNA from 1 species